CUAAUCUUUUGUGUUUUUAGUAGAGACGGGGUUUCAUCCUGUUAGCCAGGAUGGUCUCGAUCUCCUGACCUCGUGAUCUGCCCGCCUCCGCAUCCCAAAGUGCUGGGAUUGCAGGCUUGAGCCACCGCACCUGGCCACAUUCAAGAUACUUUUCUCUUGUCUCCUGGCUUCUAAUGUUGCAGUGAAGAAGUCAGCUACAAAUCUAAUUGCCGUUUCUUUAUGGCUCACAGCUGUAAGAAACUUGGCCUUGAGUCUCAGAUGAGACUUUGGACUUCAGACUUUGGGUUGAUGCUGGAACAAGUUGACUUUUGGGGACUAUCAAGAUGGAAUGAUUGUAUUUUGCAAUGAGAGAAGAGUAUGAGUUUUGGGAGGGCCAGGGGUGAAAUGCUAUGGUUUGAGGCUUCCAAAUCUCAUGUUGAAAUUUGAUCUCCAGUGUUGGAGGUGGGGCCUAAUAGGGUGUGUUUGGGUCAUGGGGGCAGAUAUCUCUGAAUGGCUUGGUGCAGUCCUUGUGGUAAUGAGUUGAGUUCUUGCUCUAUCAGUUCCCAUGGGAGCCUAUUGUUAAAAAGUCCAUCACUUCCCUCUCUUUCUCUCUCACCAUGUGAUCUCUGCACACAUGCCAGCUCCCCUUCUCUUUCCACCAUGAGUGGAACCAGCCUGAGGUCCUCACCAGAAGCUGAUGCUGGUGCCAUGCUUCUUGUACAGCCUGCAGAACCGUAGGCCAAAUAAACCUCUUUUCUUAUAAAUU
rnacentral:lncRNA from 10 species